rnacentral:rRNA from 1 species
ACUCAAAUGAAUUGACGGGGGUCCGCACAAGCGGUGGAACAUGUGGUUUAAUUCGACACUACGCGAGGAACCUUACCUAGGUUUGACAUACAUAUGACCGCUCCAGAAACGGAGUUUUCUCUGGGAAACCAGAGACAUAUGAACAGGUGCUGCAUGGCUGUCGUCAGCUCGUGUCGUGAGAUGUUGGGUUAAGUCCUAUAACGAGCGCAACCCCUACUAUCAGUUGCUACUUCGUAAGAAGGCACUCUGAUGGGACUGCCUGGGAAACCAGGAGGAAGGUGGGGAUGAUGUCAAGUCCGCAUGGUCCUUAUGCCUAGGGCAACACACGUGUUACAAUGGCCAGUACAAAGGGCUGCAAUCUCGUAAGAGUGAGCUAAUCUCAUAAAGCUGGUCUAAGUUCGGAUUGAGGUCUGCAACUCGACCUCAUGAAGUUGAAAUCGCUAGUAAUCGCGUAUCAGAUCGACGCGGUGAAUACGUUCACGGACCUUGUACACACCGCCCGU